CGGGUGAGUAAUGUCUAGGGAAACUGCCUGAGGGAGGGGGAUAACUGCGGGAAACGGUAGCUAAUACCGCAUAACGUCGCAAGACCAAAGAGGGGGACCUUCGGGCCUCUUGCCAUCGGAUGUGCCCAGAUGGGAUUAGCUAGUAGGUGGGGUAACGGCUCACCUAGGCGACGAUCCCUAGCUGGUCUGAGAGGAUGACCAGCCACACUGGAACUGAGACACGGUCCAG
rnacentral:rRNA from 1 species